rnacentral:piRNA from 1 species
UAAUUUCCAGAUGUAGACUCACACACAAUA